AGCCUGCGUCCGAUUAGCUAGUUGGUGGGGUAAGGGCCUACCAAGGCGACGAUCGGUAGCUGGUCUGAGAGGAUGACCAGCCACACUGGAACUGAGACACGGUCCAGACUCCUACGGGAGGCAGCAGUGGGGAAUAUUGGACAAUGGGGGCAACCCUGAUCCAGCAAUGCCGCGUGUGUGAAGAAGGCCUGAGGGUUGUAAAGCACUUUCAGUGGGGAGGAGGUUACUUAGGUUAAGAGCUAGAGUGAUGGACGUUACCCACAGAAGAAGCACCGGCUAACUCCGUGCCAGCAGCCGCGGUAAUACGGAGGGUGCGAGCGUUAAUCGGAAUUACUGGGCGUAAAGAGUGCGUAGGUGGUUAAGUAAGUUAUCUGUGAAAUCCCUGGGCUCAACCUGGGCAGGUCAGAUAAGACUGUUUAACUCGAGUAUGGGAGAGGGUAGUGGAAUUUCCGGUGUAGCGGUGAAAUGCGUAGAGAUCGGAAGGAACACCAGUGGCGAAGGCGGCUACCUGGCCCAAUACUGACACUGAGGCACGAAAGCGUGGGGAGCAAACAGGAUUAGAUACCCUGGUAGUCCACGCCGUAAACGAUGUCAACUAGCCGUUGGUUAUAUGAAUAUAAUAAGUGGCGCAGCAAACGCGAUAAGUUGACAUCGU
rnacentral:rRNA from 1 species